rnacentral:misc_RNA from 1 species
AAGUCGUAACAAGGUUUCCGUAGGUGAACCUGCGGAAGGAUCAUUAACACGUGAUACUCACGUAUUAACUCAAUAAAUCCACCGAGAACUAGUUAUUGUGUCCUGUUGUUGAAUGUAAGUAGGCGAAGUGAGGGAAUGCUAUGAGCCGCCCUUCGAAAGAUUGUACGCUCUAACUCAUUAGUCGUUCAUAGGUCCGCCCUGGAGCUUGCACCAGCAAUUAGAUUAGAUGAAGCACAACUGCUUAUUAAGCCUGUAGCGUAGCUUGCAGAUUCGUAGCUGAAAUAUUAACCCCUUUUUCUAUUAUUUACUGAUUUUGUAUGUUUAUAUGAAUUCCUGACUUCGGUUGGUUGAGUUUAUAUAGAUGUCGUAUAUUACUAAUACGAAACAACUCUUAGCAACGGAUAUCUUGGUUCUC